rnacentral:rRNA from 1 species
UACGAAGGGUGCAAGCGUUACUCGGAAUUACUGGGCGUAAAGCGUGCGUAGGUGGUUUGUUAAGUCUGUUGUGAAAUCCCCGGGCUCAACCCGGGAACUGCGUCUGAUACUGGAUGGCUUGAGGUUGGGAGAGGGAUGCGGAAUUCCAGGUGUAGCGGUGAAAUGCGUAGAUAUCUGGAGGAACACCGGUGGCGAAGGCGGCAUCCUGGACCAAUUCUGACACUGAGGAGCGAAAGCCAGGGGAGCAAACGGG